UUGAGCCAUGGGACCCAAAAAUCUCAAAGUUCCCUUUUCUGCCGUAAGGAUGUGCUUUUUUCUUCUCCAUUCUACUUCUUAAUGAUUCAAAGGGAAUCGAAUCCCUAAAUUAUCUCCUUCAUCCUCUUCUUUUCCAGCAGCGGCGGCAACAAAAGGGACGACGGCAAGUUACUGGUAAUCUGGCGGCUAGACCUCUUCUCCUCUAUCUCGUUUCUCCUUAGCGACAGUGGUGUUCUCUCCGGUGACGGUUUUGGUGGUAUAGUAUGGACUUCACAUACUCUCCCACAUAACCAGACAGAAUGAGUGUAGUAUGGUUUGGGAUGUCUUCUUUUUGGCUAUGAAUAUGAGAUUUGAAAGGAUUGGAGAUGAGAGGAUAUUGCUCUUGUUAAGAAAGACUCAUGGAAUUUUCUGAACUCAUCCUCCAUUCUGGUGGAGAUACCAAAAUUGUGGCUUAUAAAGAGCCAUGCUCUUAG